AACUAGCAGCUCAGAAGUGCCAGCAUUCCAACCUGUGCCUUCUCAGUCAAUGUACCAACCCUUCUCCCUCCAUGUAAUUAUCUUCUAAAUGGAUACUCUCUUCUGAUACCAAAUUGAAAGUUUCAUACUUCGGGAAAGCAUCUUGACACUCAUUGUCCUUUGAAAAUACUAUUAUACAACUGAACAGUUACCACUGCCAAGACAUUACAUCCCACUACUUGAAUUCCCAAGAAAGCCAGCUGGACCAUGCCAAAGGGAUUCUGUUUGUGAUGAAAAUCGUGAGCACAAAGGCAUCUUUAGGACACUGUUGGAGUCACACUGAGGCUUUCACCAUCAUAGGCUUUUCAUAGAGAUGUGCUAUAGAGGCCACCUCCAGGUCUCCAUGGGGUGAUGAUAGGGUGGGGUCCCUGAAGAGGACAUAAAGCAAAGAAAGAGAUAAUUUAAGCAGCUGGCCUCCAAAGAGAGAAGAAUCAUUCACUGGACAACCUUCAAAUAGGAACCAUUCACUGGAACACCUUCAGAAAUGAAGGAUUCAGCAGACAGUCUAAAGAGAGAUGCAUCCUGCAGAUGACCUUCUUGGGAUUUACCAGAGCUUCAUAGACUUCUAGAGUCCCAGACCUCCAUAGAUCUCUUCAGACUUCUGGCUACUGCACCUGCCUCCAUCCCUGCCUCUGACACUACCUACAAGGAUUACCAUCAUCCUUGGCCAGGUGUCUCAAAGAGCUGUUCACUAUUGAUGUGUGCCAAUAGCUCACAAAGAGCUUGCCACAGUCUCCAUUUCUCUGUCACCACCACCUGGUGCUGUGGAGUUCAUCACUAGCUGGUUCAGCAUCUAGCCCAGCAUUAAGUUAUAGCUGUGGGCUGCUGCAGUUCACCUCAUCUUCAAUUAGCAGUCUUUGGGAAUUCUGGAGUGAAACAGCCACUUGUGGCUUUAGAAAUUCCUUCCUUUUUGCCAAUCUCCUGCUUGUUAAAUAAACCCUGGUGUUGUAAACCCUAAGCUUGAUUGGGCAUGUGGAUGAGAACCUACUGACAGUGAUCUGUCCCCCAUCUUAGACAAAGUCACUUGCCACUGUUUUGAGUACUAUUUAGUACUGUCUAUGAGCUGUUUUAAAAUGACCUCCAAUAUCCUUCUACCAGUGAAAUGUGAUUCUUGAGA